rnacentral:rRNA from 1 species
AACGAACGCUGGCGGCAGGCUUAACACAUGCAAGUCGAGCGCCCCGCAAGGGGAGCGGCAGACGGGUGAGUAACGCGUGGGAGUCUACCCAUCUCUACGGAAUAACACAUGGAAACGUGUGCUAAUACCGUAUACGUCUUUCGGGAGAAAGAUUUAUCGGAGAUGGAUGAGCCCGCGUUGGAUUAGCUAGUUGGUGGGGUAAAGGCCUACCAAGGCGACGAUCCAUAGCUGGUCUGAGAGGAUGAUCAGCCACACUGGGACUGAGACACGGCCCAGACUCCUACGGGAGGCAGCAGUGGUAAUAUUGGACAAUGGGCGCAAGCCUGAUCCAGCCAUGCCGCGUGAGUGAUGAAGGCCCUAGGGUUGUAAAGCUCUUUCACCGGUGAAGAUAAUGACGGUAACCGGAGAAGAAGCCCCGGCUAACUUCGUGCCAGCCGCCGCGGUAACAC